AUGAAAAACAGUGAGAAAACGGAGCAAUAUCUGUACGAACUAUCUGUACUUAUGCAAUGUCAGCAAGCCCUCCAGGAGUUUCUGUGUUGGUGUAAGUCAGAGACAGAGGGAGAGGGUGCCUGUAUUGCCUGCGAGGCUUGGUGUGGGGUCCCUCCUUUGCGCUCUGGAGGGCUUCCGCGGCUGUGGCGCGUGGCCGCCGCACGGCCAGGUGGCGCAGAGGGCCCGCGGGUUGGGCUGCGCGAGGCACCGGGCCCUGAGUGGUGGGCAACCGCGCCCUGGUGUCGUCUUCGGGCGGUGGUCGUGGUCGUGGUCGUGGUCACAGUCAUUGGGCUCCCUGGGAGACAGGAGCCCGGGAGGGGCGGUGGGAGUGCAGGUGCCGGGAGCUGCUGGUGCGGCGGGCUGCGGGGUUGGGGCGGCCGGCAGGGGAGCGCCCUGGCGGGCGGUGAGUCGCUGGUUUGGGGUUGGAGGGGGCGCGCUGGAUGGCGCGGGGCGUGGCCUGUGUCCCGGGGUGGGCCCCGGGGUUGGCGGUGGGGCUGCGGCAGCCGGGGACAGCUGGCCGGCCCGCCCGUGCCCGUGCCCGUGCCCGUGCCCGUGCCCGUGCCCGUGCCCAGGCCCAGGCCCAGGCCCAGGCCCAGGCCCGAGGCGCGGGCGGGCUGGGGCUGCCAGGUGGAGGGGUCGGGCUUCUGCCCCCUGCUGGAGCUGCGUUGGGGGUCGCAGGGGUCCCGGCGUGCGGGCUGGCGGAUGGGGGCGUGGCUAGGCAGCCAGCCAAAGGCGAGCAAAAGGGGAGGGUGCCGCGGGGCAAAAGCCUACAGCCCCCGGUAUUCCCAGGCGGUCUCCCAUCCAAGUACUAACCAGGCCCGACCCUGCUUAGCUUCCGAGAUCAGACGAGAUCGGGCGCGUUCAGGGUGGUAUGGCCGUAGACGCCAGAGGCCGCCUCCAGGCCCCUCUUGAGUGCGCGCCCGCACAGCCGCCGCCGCCGCCGCCGCCGCCGCCUCCUCCUCCUCCUGCCCGCUCCCCGCUCUCACUCCCAUUCCCAUUCCCAUUCCCACUCCCGCUCCCGCUUCUCCUCCGCCUCCUCCCUCUUUUCUCUUCUCUUCUCUUCUCCUCCUCCCCCCCCUCCUCAGCCGCCCUCCGCCUAGCCCUGCACCAGUGCCCGAACUCCAGCCCUCCGCCUGCCCAGCCCAGGACCUGCAGCACCGGGCGCCCAGUCGGCACGCUGCCGCCAAGCCAAGGGGAGCCAACCUCCUCCGGCUGCCGCUGGCCACAGGGAACUCCUACUCUCUCUUUCUAGGCCGGAUCCCCUGCCUGCCGCCAUCGCCCAGCCACACGCCAGCCGUGCCCGGCAGCCUCCACGCCUGCCCAGGGCUGCGCCCCGCGGCUCGCGGGUCCCGGCACCAGGGGGUUCGGCGCCCCACACCACCGCGGCCCGGGCCUUCCCUCCUACCCGGCCGCCAGCAGCCCCCCCACCGCUGACGCACAGGUCGCCCGCCCUCCCCCGGCACGGCCGCCGCGCCUCCACACACUCCCACGCCGCGAGGACAGCUGAGGGCCUGGGGACCCUUGUCCCCGCUCGGUCACGGGGGCCCAAGUGGGGCAGCAGGUCGGGAAGGAGGGCGGCAGCGCACGGAAUCACCCCCGCCGCACGCUCGCGUGGGCACUCACACACACACACACACACACACACACACGCCUACACAAGGGGCACACAGUCGCACACCCCGACACCCUUCGUGGCACAGAGGGAUUUCCGUCCUCAGCGCCCGUUCCCUCACGGGAGGGUGGGGCGCUUCAGCGCGACCCGCACCCUCCAGCCCGGCAGCCAGUUCGAGACUGUCGCUCCCCCUCUUCAUGGAGGAACGACACAGGACCCUGCGCUGUUCUUUCGUCUGCUCGGCCCUCCCCGGGUUUGCUGCUGGUUCUUCCCGGGUUGGCUACCGUCCCUUCCACCUCC
rnacentral:lncRNA from 1 species